GACGAACGCUGGCGGCGUGCCUAAUACAUGCAAGUAGAACGCAGUUGCGAACGGGUGAGUAACGCGUAGGUAACUGCCUGGUAGCGGGGGAUAACUAUUGGAAACGAUAGCUAAUACCGCAUACUACCAGAUGGACCUGCGUUGUAUUAGCUAGUUGGUGGGGUAACGGCUUACCAAGGCGACGAUACAUAGCCGACCUGAGAGGGGGAUCGGCCACACUUCGACUGAGACACGGCCCAGACUCCUCAGAGAGGCAGCCGUAGGGAAUCUUCGGCAAUGGACGGAAGUCUGACCGAGCAACGCCGCGUGAGUGACGAAGGUUUUCGGAUCGUAAAGCUCUGUUGUAAGAGAAGCGGUAUCUUACCAGAAAGGAACGGCUAACUACGUGCCAGCAGCCGCGGUAAUG
rnacentral:rRNA from 1 species